AUUGAACGCUGGCGGCAUGCUUUACACAUGCAAGUCGAACGGCAGCGCGGGCUUCGGCUUGGCGGCGAGUGGCGAACGGGUGAGUAAUGCAUCGGAACGUGCCCAGUAGUGGGGGAUAGCCCGGCGAAAGCCGGAUUAAUACCGCAUAAGACCUGAGGGUGAAAGCGGGGGACCGAAAGGCCUUGCGCUAUUGGAGCGUCCGAUGUCGGAUUAGCUAGUUGGUGGGGUAAAGGCUUACCAAGGCGACGAUCCGUAGCUGGUCUGAGAGGACGACCAGCCACACUGGGACUGAGACACGGCCCAGACUCCUACGGGAGGCAGCAGUGGGGAAUUUUGGACAAUGGGGGCAACCCUGAUCCAGCCAUGCCGCGUGCGGGAAGAAGGCCUUCGGGUUGUAAAGCGCUUUUGUUCGGGAAGAAAUCCUCUGGGCUAAUACCCCGGGGGGAUGACGGUACCGGAAGAAUAAGCACCGGCUAACUACGUG
rnacentral:rRNA from 1 species